rnacentral:rRNA from 1 species
GGUUAAGCGACUAAGCGUACACGGUGGAUGCCCUGGCAGUCAGAGGCGAUGAAGGACGUGCUAAUCUGCGAAAAGCGUCGGUAAGGUGAUAUGAACCGUUACAGCCGGCGAUGUCCGAAUGGGGAAACCCAGUGUGAUUCGUCACACUAUCGUUAACUGAAUACAUAGGUUAACGAGGCGAACCGGGGGAACUGAAACAUCUAAGUACCCCGAGGAAAAGAAAUCAACCGAGAUUCCCCCAGUAGCGGCGAGCGAACGGGGAGCAGCCCAGAGUCUGAAUCAGCUUGUGUGUUAGUGGAACGGUCUGGAAAGUCCGACGGUACAGGGUGAUAGUCCCGUACACCAAAAUGCACAGGCUGUGAACUCGAAGAGUAGGGCGGGACACGUGGUAUCCUGUCUGAAUAUGGGGGGACCAUCCUCCAAGGCUAAAUACUCCUGACUGACCGAUAGUGAACCAGUACCGUGAGGGAAAGGCGAAAAGAACCCCGGCGAGGGGAGUGAAAAAGAACCUGAAACCGUGUACGUACAAGCAGUGGGAGCACCUUCGGGUGUGACUGCGUACCUUUUGUAUAAUGGGUCAGCGACUUAUAUUCUGUAGCAAGGUUAACCGUAUAGGGGAGCCGCAGGGAAACCGAGUCUUAACUGGGCGUUAAGUUGCAGGGUAUAGACCCGAAACCCGGUGAUCUAGCCAUGGGCAGGUUGAAGGUUGGGUAACACUAACUGGAGGACCGAACCGACUAAUGUUGAAAAAUUAGCGGAUGACUUGUGGCUGGGGGUGAAAGGCCAAUCAAACCGGGAGAUAGCUGGUUCUCCCCGAAAGCUAUUUAGGUAGCGCCUCGUGAAUUCAUCUUCGGGGGUAGAGCACUGUUUCGGCUAGGGGGUCAUCCCGACUUACCAACCCGAUGCAAACUACGAAUACCGAAGAAUGUUAUCACGGGAGACACACGGCGGGUGCUAACGUCCGUCGUGAAGAGGGAAACAACCCAGACCGCCAGCUAAGGUCCCAAAGUCACAGUUAAGUGGGAAACGAUGUGGGAAGGCACAGACAGCCAGGAUGUUGGCUUAGAAGCAGCCAUCAUUUAAAGAAAGCGUAAUAGCUCACUGGUCGAGUCGGCCUGCGCGGAAGAUGUAACGGGGCUAAACUGUGCACCGAAGCUGCGGCAGCGACACUAUGUGUUGUUGGGUAGGGGAGCGUUCUGUAAGCCUGCGAAGGUGGCCUGUGAGGGUUGCUGGAGGUAUCAGAAGUGCGAAUGCUGACAUAAGUAACGAUAAUGCGGGUGAAAAGCCCGCACGCCGGAAGACCAAGGGUUCCUGUCCAACGUUAAUCGGGGCAGGGUGAGUCGACCCCUAAGGCGAGGCCGAAAGGCGUAGUCGAUGGGAAACAGGUUAAUAUUCCUGUACUUGGUGUUACUGCGAAGGGGGACGGAGAAGGCUAUGUUAGCCGGGCGACGGUUGUCCCGGUUUAAGCAUGUAGGCGGAGGUUCCAGGUAAAUCCGGUACCUUUUUAACGCUGAGGUGUGAUGACGAGGCACUACGGUGCUGAAGUAACAAAUGCCCUGCUUCCAGGAAAAGCCUCUAAGCAUCAGGUAACAUUAAAUCGUACCCCAAACCGACACAGGUGGUCAGGUAGAGAAUACCAAGGCGCUUGAGAGAACUCGGGUGAAGGAACUAGGCAAAAUGGUGCCGUAACUUCGGGAGAAGGCACGCUGAUAUGUAGGUGAAGCCCCUGCGGGUGGAGCUGAAAUCAGUCGAAGAUACCAGCUGGCUGCAACUGUUUAUUAAAAACACAGCACUGUGCAAACACGAAAGUGGACGUAUACGGUGUGACGCCUGCCCGGUGCCGGAAGGUUAAUUGAUGGGGUUAUCCGUAAGGAGAAGCUCUUGAUCGAAGCCCCGGUAAACGGCGGCCGUAACUAUAACGGUCCUAAGGUAGCGAAAUUCCUUGUCGGGUAAGUUCCGACCUGCACGAAUGGCGUAAUGAUGGCCAGGCUGUCUCCACCCGAGACUCAGUGAAAUUGAACUCGCUGUGAAGAUGCAGUGUACCCGCGGCAAGACGGAAAGACCCCGUGAACCUUUACUAUAGCUUGACACUGAACAUUGAGCCUUGAUGUGUAGGAUAGGUGGGAGGCUUUGAAGCGUGGACGCCAGUCUGCGUGGAGCCAACCUUGAAAUACCACCCUUUAAUGUUUGAUGUUCUAACGUUGGCCCCUUAUCGGGGUUGCGGACAGUGUCUGGUGGGUAGUUUGACUGGGGCGGUCUCCUCCCAAAGAGUAACGGAGGAGCACGAAGGUUAGCUAAUCCUGGUCGGACAUCAGGAGGUUAGUGCAAUGGCAUAAGCUAGCUUGACUGCGAGCGUGACGGCGCGAGCAGGUGCGAAAGCAGGUCAUAGUGAUCCGGUGGUUCUGAAUGGAAGGGCCAUCGCUCAACGGAUAAAAGGUACUCCGGGGAUAACAGGCUGAUACCGCCCAAGAGUUCAUAUCGACGGCGGUGUUUGGCACCUCGAUGUCGGCUCAUCACAUCCUGGGGCUGAAGUAGGUCCCAAGGGUAUGGCUGUUCGCCAUUUAAAGUGGUACGCGAGCUGGGUUUAGAACGUCGUGAGACAGUUCGGUCCCUAUCUGCCGUGGGCGCUGGAGAAUUGAGGGGGCUGCUCCUAGUACGAGAGGACCGGAGUGGACGCAUCACUGGUGUUCGGGUUGUCAUGCCAAUGGCAUUGCCCGGUAGCUAAAUGCGGAAGAGAUAAGUGCUGAAAGCAUCUAAGCACGAAACUUGCCCCGAGAUGAGUUCUCCCUGAGACUUUAAGUCUCCUGAAGGAACGUUAAAGACGAUGACGUUGAUAGGUCGGGUGUGUAAGCGUAGCGAUACGUUGAGCUAACCGAUACUAAUGAACCGUGAGGCUUAACCUU